UACGAAGGGGGCUAGCGUUGCUCGGAAUUACUGGGCGUAAAGGGAGCGUAGGCGGACAGUUUAGUCAGAGGUGAAAGCCCAGGGCUCAACCCUGGAAUUGCCUUUGAUACUGACUGUCUUGAGUGUGGGAGAGGUGUGUGGAACUCCGAGUGUAGAGGUGAAAUUCGUAGAUAUUCGGAAGAACACCAGUGGCGAAGGCGACUUACUGGACACAUAUUGACGCUGAGGUGCGAAAGCGUGGGGAGCAAACAGG
rnacentral:rRNA from 1 species